UUUUAUUUUCUCAUGUGUAUUGUAACGUUUCCAAUCUAAUCUUAUUAUAUAAAGUACAGUUUUGAAAGUUACUAACUCACGAGAUCAUGACACGUGGUUAUUUAAACGAUCUUAGAUUUUGACAUAUGUUUGAUUUUUUUUUUACUUUUUCCUAAAAGAAAAUAGGAAACUAAAAAACAAAGAUAUUUAUAUAUACUAAUUAAUAUGUUUAUAUCUAAAUAUUUAACUUACAAUUUUCUUAACUAAAAUGUAAAACUAACAAUAAGAUGGAGUGUAUAUAAUUAAAUUAUAUAAAAAACUAACAACAAGAUGGAGUGUAUAUCAUUAAAUUAUAUAUUUUAUUAUGGUAAAAUAGGUAUUUAAAUUGUAUUGCAAAAUCGAAUUUGUAAGAUUGAAAUUUGGUUUAAAGAAAUACUAAAUUACAUACUGAAAAAGUAUGAGAGUUACGUUACUAUUUGAAAUUCAA
rnacentral:sRNA from 1 species